AUGUACCACGCGUACGCUCCGGUUCCUCAGCGUCGUUCGCGCUCAUCUGACGACAGCUCGCGACGUUUUGUUAGCC
rfam:Xanthomonas oryzae pv. oryzae KACC10331, complete genome.